GUCACAACAAAUCACUCUGUGAUAGAUGAGUUGAUGUCAGUCACUGCUAUAAAUAUGAAGACAUUACCUUUUAUUUCUAAAGACAUUUUUCAAAGUGAGAUGUUCAUUUUAUACUGUUUGCUUUAUUUUUCCCCAUUUAUAUAUUUUGUAUCACACAAUGUUACAAAAGAGAGGAAAAAGAGUAAGGAACUGAUGAAAAUGAUGGGUCUACAUGAUUCAGCUUUCUGGUGAGUGAUACAUUCAAGUAGUUCCAGUUAAUAAAUGGAAACUCUGAAGCAGAAAAAAAUAUGUUAUUGCUUCAGAAUACCAUUGUUUAACCUUGAUAUAGUAACUACAUUAUCUUUUGCUGACUUGUUGAUUUAGUCUGUGUUAAAUUUUGUCAUGGAAAAUAAUGCUUACAGUUUGCUGAGUAAUUUUUCCUGUGCUGUGAAUAUCUUAAGCUAACUCUGUGAUAGAGGAACUCUCCUCUAGUUUAUAAAUAAGGAGAGUUAAAAUGAAAGAGGGUUGUUUGGUAUAUGUUGAGUAUCAGAGCUGCAACUCUAACCAAAGUGUCCUGAAGGCACCUCUCCUAAUUGAUCUACCCACAAUUAUCAGCUGAUUUCUCCAUUCUUCCUCAUGUUGAAGACAAAAAUAUAGGCUUAUGAAGGCUAAGUUGUGUUCAGGGGCUGGGCCCAAACAUAUAUUUUUUGGAGCAAGGAAAUAUCAUAUCUUGUUAAAUGAAGUAGCAUAUGGAACGCGUUCAGGAAAUACAACACCUGGGCUGACAUGUAGGAAGGGCCUCAUAAGAGCAUUUGCUUCAUAUAGUAGUAUUUAUAUCUUGCUUCAUUCCACACAUAAUUUAAAGUAUUUUGAAAUAUAUAUGUGUGAAUAUAUACACAUAACGAAAACAUUAAUAGAUGAGUUUAGUAAAGAGAAAUGUAAAUCAUACAACCCUCAACUCCCAAGACGUCAAACGGAAUUUUGCAAGACAUUCAGUGACAAAAUUCAUACUGCCUAGAAAAAGAGGAAAAGGAAAAAUAAUGUAUUUAUUUUACCCCAAAAGAAACAUUUUUGAUA
rnacentral:lncRNA from 1 species